UACGGGGGGGGUAAGCGUUGUUCGGAAUUACUGGGCGUAAAGGGCUCGUAGGUGGCCAACUAAGUCGGACGUGAAAUCCCUCAGCUUAACUGGGGAACUGCGUCCGAUACUGGAUGGCUCGAGUUUGGGAGAGGGAUGCGGAAUUCCAGGUGUAGCGGUGAAAUGCGUAGAUAUCUGGAGGAACACCGGUGGCGAAGGCGGCAUCCUGGACCAACACUGACACUGAGGAGCGAAAGCCAGGGGAGCAAACGGG
rnacentral:rRNA from 1 species